UACGUAGGGGGGCUAGCGUUGUCCGGAAUCAUUGGGCGUAAAGCGCGUGUAGGCGGUUCGGUAAGUCCGCUGUGAAAGUCGGGGGCUCAACCCUCGAAUGCCGGUGGAUACUGUCGGGCUAGAGUGCGGAAGAGGCGAGUGGAAUUCCUGGUGUAGCGGUGAAAUGCGCAGAUAUCAGGAGGAACACCAAUUGCGAAGGCAGCUCGCUGGGACGCUACUGACGCUGGAGACGCGAAAGCGUGGGGAGCAAACAGGAU
rnacentral:rRNA from 1 species